UAGCGGCAGGCCUAACACAUGCAAGUCGAGGGGUAGGAUUAGCUUGCUAAUCUGAGACCGGCGCACGGGUGCGUAACGCGUAUGCAAUCUACCUUUUACAGAGGGAUAGCCCAGAGAAAUUUGGAUUAAUACCUCAUAGUAUCUUUGCCUGGCAUCAGGUGAUUAUUAAAGUACCAACGGUAAAAGAUGAGCAUGCGUCCUAUUAGCUAGAUGGUAAGGUAACGGCUUACCAUGGCAACGAUAGGUAGGGGUCCUGAGAGGGAGAUCCCCCACACUGGUACUGAGACACGGACCAGACUCCUACGGGAGGCAGCAGUGAGGAAUAUUGGACAAUGGGCGCAAGCCUGAUCCAGCCAUGCCGCGUGCAGGAAGAAGCAUCUAUGGUGUGUAAACUGCUUUUGUACGGGAAGAAACACUCCUACGUGUAGGAGCUUGACGGUACCGUAAGAAUAAGGAUCGGCUAACUCCGUGCCAGCAGCCGCGGUAAUACGGAGGAUCCAAGCGUUAUCCGGAAUCAUUGGGUUUAAAGGGUCCGUANGCGGUUUAAUAAGUCAGUGGUGAAAUCUGGUCGCUCAACGAUCAAACGGCCAUUGAUACUGUUAGACUUGAAUUGUUGGGAAGUAACUAGAAUAUGUAGUGUAGCCGGUGAAAUGCUUAGAUAUUACAUGGAAUACCAAUUGCGAAGGCAGGGUACUAUCAACACAUUGACGCUGAUGGACGAAAGCGUGGGGAGCGAACAGGAUUAGAUACCCUGGUAGUCCACGCCGUAAA
rnacentral:rRNA from 1 species